GCGAGGUGCGUUCCCCAGCCUGAUUUGCUCUGGGCUCUGACCCGCCGCCGCGAAUCUCCGCUCGUAACUCCGGGCCUGAACCCGGAGGAGGGAGGAUUUCCUCUGUGCAGCUUUCAAGCGGUAGACUCACCCUGCCAGGCAGACCUAGAUUGGCAUAACCAGAGAUUAAUUCCAGUUGUGAUGCAGUGGGUGUUUACACACUUCUGAUGACACCUUUAUUUUAAAAGCAGAUGUUCCAAGAGACGGGGUUUCACCGUGUUAGCCAGGAUGGUCUGGAUCUCCUGACCUCGUGAUCCGCCCGCCUCAGCCUCUCCAAGUGCUGGGAUCACAGGCAUGAGCCACCGCGCCCAGCCCUUGUAUUUUUAAACUUGACUUUAUAGAGACGAACACCAUCGUUUGCUGAACACUUGAAACGUGAUGAAAGAGCCACAGAGUUGGCAGAACUGUUUGAAAAUGCUGUGCAAGUGGUUCUUCUCUGUCUUCUUUCUAGCCAGUAAAAUUCUCCAGAAGAGGAGAUUUAUGGCAGCCUCACUCCCAGUAGUUUCUGCAUUUAGGGAGAUAAGGAAUGGAUUUUCUUCCGUGUCGCUGACACGAACAGGAGACAGAAAUACUGAGUAGAAGAGGGCGGUUCCCUGGCUAAGGCCCCACCCUCAAGCCUGGAUACCCGCGGCCCUAAAUGAGAAGAGGCAUUUCUGUUUGGGGCCCAAAAAGUUGCCUUUUGACCCGCCACGCCCCCUGUCCUGCCCCCAUAUAAACCCAAACCCCAACCUCCAGAGCAUACCAGCAGGUGAGGAGAUAGGAGGCAAGCCGACUGACGGCAAAACAACAACAACGUAGCAGAGACAGAGAGAAGAGGAGGGACGUCUGGACACCGAGAGAUGUUUGGCUGGGGGCAGUCAGAGCGGAGUCCAGCCCCUGGGAGGCCCAACUCCAGGGGAAGAUCACCUUCCCACUUCAUCCAUCCCCACCCUUCCAGCUCCCCAUCCAUCCUGCUGAAAGCCAUUUCCACCACUCAAUAAAACCUCGCAUUCAUCCUUUAAGUCCGUGUGUGACCCGAUUUUUCCUGGAUUCUGGAAAAGAGCUCAGAAUACAGAAAGCUGUCCUCUGGUCCUUUGCCCUUGUGAAAAAGCAGAAGGUCCAUUGAGCUGGUUAACACUCCAGCCAUCUGUGGUGGCCAAGCUGAAAGAGCUUUGUAACACUGGGGUUGCAGGCACCCACCUCUAGACGCUACCGCAGGGCCAGAGCCCAAAGCCCUCACCCCGGCCUCUGCACUUGCCCAUCUGCGUGCUCCACCUCUCGCAAGGGGUUUCAGCAGAGGGGGCUACUGAACAGGUGAGCCACACCCCGUCGCACGCCCUGCAAGGGGAAUCAGGGAACUCUUCCGUUUCAUUGCUUUGACCACAUCCUAUAAAUCUUGUUCUCCUUGUCUUUCAGCUCCAAUUUGUUUAUACAGUUUUUACUUUUGACUUUACUUAUGAUUUAUUAUAGAAAGAUGUUUAACAAUUUUCAAGCAAAUGGAAUAAUUUUUGCUCCCCUUUCGUUGUUAAUUUAUUAUUCAUUGGAGUUAGAAAAUUAUUGCUAAAAUAAAUUCUGCAUUUUGCA
rnacentral:lncRNA from 1 species